UUUUUUUUUUUUUUUUUUUUUUAAGAGAAGGAAGAAUUCACCGUGGUCCUCGUAAUUAUUUUUCACUGUGUUUCCCAUGUUGGUCUCAAACCAUCUCGGCUGCCCAAAGUGCUGGGAUCACAGCCGUGCAUUACUGUGCCUGGCCUGACCUUUCUUCUUUAGACCUCACUCUUAUGUGUUAAAUGGUUGGGCUGUCCUCACAUUCUUCACUCUUGUCUACUCCCCAGUAUAGUAUCCUUAUGGUGUCUUUUUGCCCUCCAUUAAAAUCUAUCAGGAAAAGAUUUAAAAGCCAUCCAUACUGAACUACAAAUAACUGAUGAGAUCUCCACUGCAGAAGAGAUGGAAGUUUUAAGCUAAAAGAAUGAAGCACCAGCUGUAGAAUUCCAGGCAUUAAUCAAAAGAAAAGACAAGAGGAAUCUUGGCCUCAAAAACUGAUAUCCAUCAUAAGAUCAUGGUGAAAUACAGUCUGAAGCAGGUCCAGAGUGAGAAGAGAAAAGAAUCACAGAAAUGGGGCUGGAGUUUCAACUGUAUUAAGCCAGAAGACUACCUGCCUCCAAACUUUCAAGAAGCCAACAAAGUUCCUGACUGUUUAAACUAAUUUGAGUUGGAUUUCUAUUGCUUGUAUCUAAAAGAAUCCUAACUGGCACUUCUAGAUAUCUGUUGAGGCCUGGAAGGGGCAAAACAAUUCAGGAAGCAGUUGAAGAUAAAGGGGUUUACCAUGGAAGAGAAGAUCCAGGUGCCUUCAUGGAAAUGCUUGUGGUUGAAAAGAGAUGAAGAUGAGGGUCCCUGGAAAGAGGAAGAACCAGCCAGGAAAAUUAUACCAUUAGCAAGACUGGCAUCAGCAAGUAGUUCGCAGUGUUGGUUGUUCUUGGUUUCGCAGGAUUUUAUAGGAGGUUACAAAUAAAAUAUUGGAUAGAAGCAUAUGGAACAUUUCAGCAUGCUUGCAUUUUAGUCUGAUGAACAGUCACCAACACAACCUUAUUUGGAAGAAUUAGAGUUCAAGACCAUCCAUACCCUCUAAGCAGGAGGGAGAAGCAUAGGUUAUCCUGUUUCUGCCACAGGUGGAAUGACUUCCUUACCAAAGGGUAGGAAGGAGAGAACAGCAUGACUAAUGUACUCCAGGUGGCUAGUAGUGAUAGAAAUAUUACUUUUUUUUUUUUUUUUUUGAGACGUAGUCUCACUCUGUUGCCCAGGCUGGAAUGCAGUGGUGUGAUCUCAGCUCACAGCAACCUCCCCCUCCCAGGUUCAAGUGAUUCUCCUGCCUCAGCCUCCCAGAUAGCUGGAAUCACAGGCAUGCUCCACCACAUCCGGCUAAUUUUUGUAUUUUUAGUAGAGAUGGGGUUUCGCCAUGUUGGCCAGGCUGGUCUCAGACUCCUGACCUCAGGUGAUCAUCCCACCUCAGCCUCCCAAAGUGCUGAGAUUACAGGCAUGGGCCACCAUGUCUGCCCAAAAAAUUGCUACUUAAUCUAAGCAGAACUAAUUUAGGUAGAAAAGUUAGAAACCUAAUUUUGAUUGCAAAAGAUUUUGUUCUUAUUCAUUCACUGCUAUAUGAAAUAUUUUUAGCAGAAUUCAAAGCAUGCCAGGGUUAUGUUUAAAAGGAGACUUAAACAAUCCUUUUACAGAGAUAACUGUGAGCUAAAUUCACAGAAAGCUGUAAUUGAGUGGUAUGAGCAUCUCCACUAAGAGCAUUGUUUGAGAAGUAUGGAGGUAGGAAGAAGGAUACAGGGGAGAAAGAAAGAAAUAGCUCAGUAGGAAGAGAACAUGGAAUAAGCAAAUCAGGGUUGAAAAAGGACUGUGCUUAACUUUAUAAUUUUGCUUCUAAAAGUCACUUUCUUUCAAAAACAAAAACAAAAAACAAAGAAAAUAACUAUAAGCAGUGGUUCUCUUCUCCUCUGCAAAGUUCUUCAGUCUAGCUUAAGAAAAUUCCCUUGAUCAGGAAAUAAGUUAGAUAAAAAUCCCAUGGGGUAAAACUAUUGUGAAGUGAUUAUGAGCUUUCUCUCCUAAAAGGACCAGCCACCAAAACGUACAAUAGCACAAUCAACUCAGCCUCUGUGAGCCACAUCAGGCAUGUCUCAGUGGAUCCAGUGUAAGUGUUUUUACUAGCAGGGGGUAAAAACGGUAUUCCUUAGAAGAUGAGGGUUCCACAGCCUAUUUAACAUAGACAUGAGAAGCACUACAAGACAGAAGAAGUCUAUGGCUUGACCCUAUUAGAUGAUCUUCUGAGGUGUUUAUUAAUAAGUGAUAGGUUGUGUUUUUUUUCAAUGACAAAGCAAGGAUUUUUUUCUUUUACAAGACAUCAAAGGAGUUUGACUCUAAUUUUCUCUGUGGAGAUUUGGCUGAGAGUCUCUAGAUUAUGGUGAUAACAACACCUAAGAGAUUUAUUUAAGAAGUGCCCCUUGGCCCUUCCUUCAGAGAAUCCACAAAUCUUUAUUCAAUUCUGUCAGUCUCUGGCAAGGGAAAUGCCAUUUAGUCCAGUGAACAAUUAAUAAAUGGUGCUCAGUAAGUGCUAGUUGAUGAUAAUGAUAAUAAUGAUGAGAUGAUGAUGAUGGUAAUAGACUUAUCUUGAUUCAAAAAUAAAUGUGUAAUGUAUAUGUAUAUAUAUGUUUAUGUAUAUAUGUGUAAAUAUAUAUGUUUCAAAUUCUCUUCAGCCUUGAAAAUGAAGAUUGCACAUUUUUCUUUACCAUAUGUAAA
ensembl:lncRNA LINC00907 long intergenic non-protein coding RNA 907